GCGUCAAGACAGUGAAGACGCGGAAUAAGGCUCUUGGAGUGGCCGUGGGUGGUGGAGCCGAUGGCAGCCGAGACGAGCUGUUCCGCAGAAGCCCUCGGCCCAAGGGAGACUUCUCCAGCCGGGCCCGUGAAGUGGUAAGCUGGUUGCUAUGGGAACGACUGGUGGGAGUCAGGGGCGGAUCUGCAACCGCGGACCCUGCACCCCUAACUGGGCCCUGCCUCGUUAGCUCUUGGUGAAGUGAGGGAGUCUCUAGCAAGACAGAAGAGUCGGUCUCACGAAGCCAACAGCUGGCUCGGGGUGGCGACAGGUUUAUUCUCACGAAGAGGGACGCAUAUCUGGGCACUGAAGGAAGCAAGUUUUGAAGAGGCUCUUGGAUGUCCUUGAACUCAGGCUAACUUUUAGAGGCAGUGAGUUCGCCGUGGCUGCUGAUUUGAGUGCCUUGGAAGAGUUCCCACAGUCUUACGCUUCCUGUAUUAAAACUCACCACUCUCUCCGCUUGCCCUUUCAUGUGUGUGUUUGGACCUCCUCUUGUGCAUAGGGUUUAAUAAAAAUCUACGCUCAGCAG
rnacentral:lncRNA from 1 species